rnacentral:lncRNA from 1 species
CGACAGGGUCUACUCGAUAGGUCACGUUAAUUUUUCUAGCUGUGUUAGUCGAUUAGUACGUUCGAAUUUAGUCUUGGAUUAUGAAUAUUAUGAAGAUAAUGAACCCGAUAUUUCAUUGAGAACUGUUUUAACUGCUUUAAAUCAACAAAGUUGAGGUAUUGAGCCGGCAAUUAUUGGUGAUAGAGAGACGGAGAAAUUUGGUGGACUUGUGGAAAGUUGCAGGGUGCUAACCAGUUGAUGGAGUACCAGAAGAAGAGAAAAGAAAAAGGGAACAUACUACUUUUGUGGGUCCUACACACACUACAGGUCCAGCAGUCCGUAUGUCAACAGUAGUAAAUCACCCCCAAACCUGGCCUCAGUGAAAUUUUGAAAGAUGAGUAUUUAAAUUAUCUAUAAAUUUUACCUAUAAUAGAUAAUUGUAUUGAUUAUAAUUUGACCAAUGAUUAUAUUGAAUAUCAAGUAGGUCAAUCUGAUAUUAUUGUUAAGGAUAGACUUCGCA